AGCGAACGCUGGCGGCAGACCUAACACAUGCAAGUCGAACGAACCUUUCGGGGUUAGUGGCGGACGGGUGAGUAACACGUGGGAACGUGCCUUUAGGUUCGGAAUAACUCAGGGAAACUUGUGCUAAUACCGAAUGUGCCCUUCGGGGGAAAGAUUAAUCGCCUUUAGAGCGGCCCGCGUCUGAUUAGCUAGUUGGUUGAGGUAAUGGCUCACCAAGGCGACGAUCAGUAGCUGGUCUGAGAGGAUGAUCAGCCACAUUGGGACUGAGACACGGCCCAAACUCCUACGGGAGGCAGCAGUGGGGAAUCUUGCGCAAUGGGCGAAAGCCUGACGCAGCCAUGCCGCGUGAAUGAUGAAGGUCUUAGGAUUGUAAAAUUCUUUCACCGGGGACGAUAAUGACGGUACCCGGAGAAGAAGCCCCGGCUAACUUCGUG
rnacentral:rRNA from 1 species